rnacentral:rRNA from 1 species
AACGAACGCUGGCGGCAGGCUUAACACAUGCAAGUCGAACGAGCUCUUCGGAGCUAGUGGCGGACGGGUGAGUAACGCGUGGGAACGUGCCCUUCUCUACGGAAUAGUCCCGGGAAACUGGGUUUAAUACCGUAUACGCCCUUCGGGGGAAAGAAUUUCGGAGAAGGAUCGGCCCGCGUUGGAUUAGGUAGUUGGUGGGGUAAUGGCCUACCAAGCCGACGAUCCAUAGCUGGUUUGAGAGGAUGACCAGCCACACUGGGACUGAGACACGGCCCAGACUCCUACGGGAGGCAGCAGUGGGGAAUCUUAGACAAUGGGGGCAACCCUGAUCUAGCCAUGCCGCGUGGACGAUGAAGGCCUUAGGGUUGUAAAGUCCUUUCGCUGGGGAAGAUAAUGACGGUACCCAGUAAAGAAGCCCCGGCUAACUCCGUGCCAGCCGCCGCAGUAAAAC